rnacentral:rRNA from 1 species
GCGUAGUCGAUGGGAACCAGGUUAAUAUUCCUGGGCCAUGGAGUGGUGACGGAUCCGGAACGUAGUUCAUCCUUAUCGGAUUGAAUGGGCUGCCAACGGGUUCCUGGAAAUAGCCCUCCUAUAAGAUCGUACCCUAAACCGACACAGGUGGACUGGUAGAGAAUACCAAGGCGCUUGAGAGAACUCUGUUGAAGGAACUCGGCAAAUUACUCCCGUAAGUUCGCGAGAAGGGAGCCUGGCAUCAGGCAACUGGUGUCCAGGGGCACAGACCAGGGGGUGGCGACUGUUUAUUAAAAACACAGGGCUCUGCGAAGUCGUAAGACGACGUAUAGGGUCUGACGCCUGCCCGGUGCCUGAAGGUUAAAAGGAGGGGUGAG